AACCUAGCACACCUGCGGUGUGUACCUGCGGAAGGAUCAUUACCGAGUUAGGGUCUUUUGGCCCGACCUCCAACCCUUUGUUUAUUAUACCAUGUUGCUUUGGUGGGCCUGCCUUUCGGGGCUGCCGGGGGCAUCACUGCCCCUGACUCGUGCCUGCCAGGAGCCUUCUUAAAUUCAGUGUUCAACGGUGCUGUCUGAGUCCCAGUAUCAAAAUAUCAAAAACUUUUAACAAUGGAUCUC
rnacentral:misc_RNA from 1 species